rnacentral:rRNA from 1 species
GUGCCAGCCGCCGCGGUAAUACAGAGGGUGCGAGCGUUAAUCGGAGUUACUGGGCGUAAAGGGCGCGUAGGCGGUUGUUUAAGUGAGAUGUGAAAUCCCUGGGCUUAACCUAGGAACUGCAUCUCAUACUGGAUAGCUAGAGUAUUGUAGAGGGUAGUGGAAUUUCCGGUGUAGCGGUGAAAUGCGUAGAGAUCGGAAGGAACACCAGUGGCGAAGGNGGNUACCUGGGCAAAUACUGACGCUGAGGCGCGAAAGCGUGGGGAGCAAACA